rnacentral:rRNA from 1 species
GACGAAGGGGGCUAGCGUUGUUCGGAAUUACUGGGCGUAAAGCGCGUGUAGGCGGUUAUCCAAGUCGGGUGUGAAAGCCUUGAGCUUAACUCAAGAAAUGCACUCGGUACUGGGCGACUAGAGGACCGGAGAGGAUAGUGGAAUUCCCAGUGUAGUGGUGAAAUACGUAGAGAUUGGGAAGAACACCAGUGGCGAAGGCGGCUAUCUGGACGGUUUCUGACGCUAAGACGCGAAAGCGUGGGGAGCAAACAGG